AGAGUUUGAUCAUGGCUCAGAACGAACGCUGGCGGGUUAACACAUGCAAGUCGAGUGCGCGCCUGUAGCAAUACAGGUGGCGCACGGCGCACGGGUGCGUAACACGUGGGUAACCUGCCCUUUGGUGGGGAAUAACUCCGCGAAAGCGAAGCUAAUUCCGCAUAAGAUCCGCAAGGAUGAAAGCCGAAAGGCGCCGAUGGAGGGGCCGCGCACGAUUAGCUAGUUGGUAGGGUAAUGGCCUACCAAGGCUUUGAUCGUUAGCUGGUCUGAGAGGAUGGCCAGCCACACUGGAACUGAGACACGGUCCAGACUCCUACGGGAGGCAGCAGUGGGGAAUCUUGCACAAUGGGCGAAAGCCUGAUGCAGCGACGCCGCGUGGGGGAUGAAGCUUCUCGGAGUGUAAACCCCUUUCGAUCCGGACGAAUGCCCGCAAGGGAUUGACGGUACGGAUAUAAGAAGCCCCGGCUAACUACGUGCCAGCAGCCGCGGUAAUACGUAGGGGGCCAGCGUUGUUCGGAAUUACUGGGUGUAAAGGGUUCGUAGGCGGUGCGGCAAGUUGGGAGUGAAAUCUCUGGGCUCAACCCAGAGGCUGCUUCCAAAACUGCCGUGCUUGAGUGUGGGAGAGGCUCGUGGAAUUGCAGGUGUAGCGGUGAAAUGCGUAGAUAUCUGCAGGAACACCCGUGGCGAAAGCGGCGAGCUGGACCACUACUGACGCUGAAGAACGAAAGCUAGGGGAGCAAACAGGAUUAGAUACCCUAGUAGUCC
rnacentral:rRNA from 1 species